UUUUAUCAUGUGACAUUUUGAAUGAAAUCCGUUUCACUUUUCUACCUUGAUCUUUAAUUAUUUUCAACAUUUGUGAUUCCGAAUAGUUCAGCAUCUGUUGAAGGUCUUUUGGCACCCAAAACUGAAUUAAGACAAAAUAUCGUAACAGAUUGACUGAUAAGCAUUUGAGCAACCUAAUGAGAAUAGCUGAUGAAAAAGUAGAUAUAGAACAUUUUCCAUAUGAUGAUGCAACAAAAAUAUUCAAUUUUUAAAAAAAUAGAAGAUGUUAAAUAUUAUAAUUAAAGAAAUAAUUUUUAUCUAUUUGUGUUUUUCUAUUUGUAUUGUAAUAGAUUAGUGUUUUUUUAAUUUUUAGAAAUCUCACCCUGUUUUUGAAGAAGGGUGAGAAAUUCUCUCCCAUUUUUUUCUAUAAUGAAAACACUGGAUGAGGGUUCCAUUAAAGAAACUCUCAAACAUGAAAGACGUAAAGUGGUUCAUUUAAUAUCGUUUCAUCCCUCAAAACCUAUUAUGCUGACUGCGGCUGAAGCAGAUGCAUAUCUUUGGAUUGAUUCUUCUGAAAUCUCAGAUGUAGGGGAUGACAAUUGAAGAUGCACCACCAAUUCUGCAUUUGGUGUCAUCGUCUUGUACACAUCUUUGUAAAUAUUUUUAGUUAAUUAAUAAAUUUAAAGUUUGUAGUUAAA